CAAUAGCGUAUAUUUAAGUUGCUGCAGUUAAAAAGCUCGUAGUUGGAUUUCGGGUGGGAAUGGCCGGUCCGCCGUUUCGGUGUGCACUUGCUACGCCCACCUUGCUGCCGGGGACGUGCUCUUGAGUUCACGCUCGGGACACGGAGUCGGCGAGGUUACUUUGAGUAAAUUAGAGUGUUCAAAGCAGGCCUACGCUCUGAAUACAUUAGCAUGGAAUAACACGAUAGGACUCUGGCCUAUCUUGUUGGUCUGUAGGACCGGAGUAAUGAUUAAGAGGGACAGUCGGGGGCAUUCGUAUUUCAUUGUCAGAGGAGAAAUUCUUGGAUUUAUGAAAGACGAACUACUGCGAAAGCAUUUGCCAAGGAUGUUUUCAUUAA
rnacentral:rRNA from 1 species